rnacentral:lncRNA from 1 species
AGAAUGUGUAAAGAAAUGUAAAAUGUAGGCUCAUGUGGGGUCGAAGAGGAGACUGGACUACCUAUUUGCACAAUGUAUUGUUAGUAAAUUCCUAAUUGCGAUGGUCUUAAAGAGGGUUCAGUUUGGGGGACGACGUGAGAUGCGAGUGGGAUAGGUAGAUGUUAAGGAACAGAUCGCAGCUUAUUCGAACAAGAUUGACCAGCAUAAUAACCUGCUGGUAGGUCAUCUGAGAUUUAACGAAUAGUGCUACUAUUUUUAAAAAUACUUGUGUAGAUCCUCUGAUGA